rnacentral:rRNA from 1 species
UACAGAGGUCCCAAGCGUUGUUCGGAUUCAUUGGGCGUAAAGGGUGCGUAGGCGGCGCGGUAAGUCGGGUGUGAAAUCUCGGGGCUUAACUCCGAAACUGCAUUCGAUACUGCCGUGCUUGAGGACUGGAGAGGAGACUGGAAUUUACGGUGUAGCGGUGAAAUGCGUAGAUAUCGUAAGGAAGACCAGUGGCGAAAGCGACCCACUGGAUCUCUACUGACGCUGAGGCGUGAAAGCUAGGGGAGCAAACGGG